GACGAACGCUGGCGGCGUGCUUAACACAUGCAAGUCGAGCGGAAGGGCCCUGCUUUUGUGGGGUGCUCGAGUGGCGAACGGGUGAGUAACACGUGAGUAACCUGCCCUUGACUUUGGGAUAACUUCAGGAAACUGGGGCUAAUACCGGAUAGGAGCUCCUGCUGCAUGGUGGGGGUUGGAAAGUUUCGGCGGUUGGGGAUGGACUCGCGGCUUAUCAGCUUGUUGGUGGGGUAGUGGCUUACCAAGGCUUUGACGGGUAGCCGGCCUGAGAGGGUGACCGGCCACAUUGGGACUGAGAUACGGCCCAGACUCCUACGGGAGGCAGCAGUGGGGAAUAUUGCACAAUGGGCGGAAGCCUGAUGCAGCAACGCCGCGUGCGGGAUGACGGCCUUCGGGUUGUAAACCGCUUUCGCCUGUGACGAGGCGUGAGUGACGGUAAUGGGUAAAGAAGCACCGGCUAACUACGUG
rnacentral:rRNA from 1 species